rnacentral:rRNA from 1 species
GGUUACUGCUAUCGGUGUUCGCCUAAGCCAUGCGAGUCAUAUGUUCGUAAGAACAUGGCGUACUGCUCAGUAACACGUGGAUAACCUGCCCUUGGGUCCGGCAUAACCCCGGGAAACUGGGGAUAAUUCCGGAUAACGCACAUAUGCUGGAAUGCUUUAUGCGUAAAAUGGAUUCGUCUGCCCAAGGAUGGGUCUGCGGCCUAUCAGGUAGUAGUGGGUGUAAUGUACCUACUAGCCUACGACGGGUACGGGUUGUGAGAGCAAGAGCCCGGAGAUGGAUUCUGAGACAUGAAUCCAGGCCCUACGGGGCGCAGCAGGCGCGAAAACUUUACAAUGCGGGAAACCGUGAUAAGGGGACACCGAGUGCCAGCAUCCUAUGCUGGCUGUCCGGGUGUGUAAAAUACACCUGUUAGCAAGGGCCGGGCAAGACCGGUGCCAGCCGCCGCGGUAACACCGGCGGCCCGAGUGGUGAUCGUGAUUAUUGGGUCUAAAGGGUCCGUAGCCGGUUUGGUCAGUCCUCCGGGAAAUCUGACAGCUUAACUGUUAGGCUUUCGGAGGAUACUGCCAGACUUGGAACCGGGAGAGGUAAGAGGUACUACAGGGGUAGGAGUGAAAUCUUGUAAUCCCUGUGGGACCACCUGUGGCGAAGGCGUCUUACCAGAACGGGUUCGACGGUGAGGGACGAAAGCUGGGGGCACGAACCGGAUUAGAUACCCGGGUAGUCCCAGCCGU